rnacentral:rRNA from 1 species
GUGCCAGCAGCCGCGGUAAUACGAACUGUGCAAACGUUAUUCGGAAUCACUGGGCUUAAAGGGUGCGUAGGCGGCUGUCUAAGCAGGGUGUGAAAGCCCCCGGCUCAACCGGGGAAUUGCGUUCUGAACUGGACGGCUGGAGUGGGAUAGGGGUGUGUGGAACUUCCGGUGGAGCGGUGAAAUGUGUUGAUAUCGGAAGGAACGCCGGUGGCGAAAGCGACACACUGGGUCUCAACUGACGCUGAGGCACGAAAGCCAGGGGAGCGAACGGGAUUAGAUACCCGGGUAGUCC